CCAAAUCGAACUCGAAUUUUAGCAUUUUUAUCUAGCUGGGGUUUGGACAAAAUUUCAAACCUAUUUUUUAGAUCGAGUUCGGACCUAAAAUUUUGGUUGGGUCCUACUCGACCCAUGGACACCUCUAGUUCUCUGUUGUAUUUAACCAACUGAAAAGGGAAACAAGAAGCAUCAAUUGGGCAAAGCUAUUUUAAGAUAUAGGACAAGAGAACAUAAAAACAUUACAAACCAGUAGAAGUCUCCUCAGUCCGCA
rnacentral:lncRNA from 1 species